GGGGCCGUAGCUCAGCUGGGAGAGCGCCAGAAUCGCACUCUGGAGGUCACGGGUUCAAAUCCCGUCGGCUCCA
rnacentral:tRNA from 1 species